UGAGGAGUGCCUUAGAAGGGCUUAAGAGGGAUAACCAGCUCAAAACUAAAGAGUGUCAAGAGGCUUGCAAAUCUUUACAGGAACUUCAAAAUGAGCUUAUGCGUAAAUCAAUGCAUGUUGGUCAUUGGCCUUUGCAAUUGAGGGACAAGUGAAAGAGAAGAGCAGAUGGUUCUCAUCAUUGAGGGACGUGACAGAAAAUUGAAGAUAAUGAAAAUGGAACAUAUCAAACUAUCAGAGGAGGUAUCACUUUAUAAGAAUUUCAUCUGGAUAUCGAUGAUAUUGGCCUAAAGUUCUG